AUAUAAUGUAUAUGCUGCAAUAAUGCUAAUUAAAAAAUGUCAUCCUUCGAUGAUUCUUGCUAUCUUUUUCUAAUAAAUUCUUUAAUUUAAUGUAGCUCAUUAGUGCUUAUAAAAUCUUCGAUCCAACCAUAAAACAAGUUCGUCUGGUACAUAUACAGGUACUUGAUAACGUCGUAACAUUUUCUGCCUACAGUUUAACUACCAUUUGUUACAUUUUCGAUAAGUCCGAGAUGUCGUAGACUUUACCUGCAGAUUACAAACGACCAAUCGUGGCCUAGCUAGCGAAGACCGGUAAGGUGUCCGGCCGCUUAUUUUUCCUCAGGGGGUGAGACCCCAGGGUAGGGAUAAGUCGUGGGGGUGGGAGGGUGUAUGGCCAGCCUUGGGCGAAAGAGGGGAAAAGACGGGAAAGUGGGGUAAAAUAGGCCGCCGAGUGGGGACGAGGAGGACGACACUUAGAUGGUAAAUCGUGGAGAAGGGGCGAAACGAGCGUCGGAGGACGAGGGGGGGACCCCUAGAACCCGAGGGGGUGGGCGCCCUGAUAGGCGUCCGAGCGACAGAGUCUACACUUCGUUAACCCAUUGCAAUGUUAUUUAAUUUACAGAGUACACGGCGGCGAGACUCUGCCUCGGGUAAUUUUGAAUUUUCAGCGAGCGAAGUGGACGUUAAGACAGCGACGCGACUGCCUUUGUGUUGACGUACUUCGAACGAAUCGAAUCGGAUCCUCCUAAUCUACGCGAAAAGCGGUCCGAAGUAAAGGCAACGAGAUAGGAAACGCGCUAUUGAUUAAACGUCGUAAUUAGCAAGUCCGCGAUAUCCGAUUAUUUAUUACAUAAUUAUAUCAAGCCUUAUUAUCUCCCUUAUUAUCCAGAUAAAGACGUCACGUUACUUUCGAGCUUCGAUGAAACUUGUGCACUUUGCAAGAGCGCACCUUGUUCCGAGGGAUGAAAAAACGCGACGAAAAAACAGGCCAGCCUCCCUUCGGAACCGCGACACACAACAUCCCGGGCAGGUUUUUCAGCCAGGUGGAUAAAAAUCGAUAGUAAAAAAAAAACGCAACCUGCCACCAGGAGGAAAAGCACCGCGACCCUCGAUCUUUUUUUCUUCGAACCCUUUUUAACUAACCCUUAAUCAUGACACCCUUAAGUGUUUUUUUUUUUCUAGGAUACCUUUUUUACAAUCUGUUUUGUCGGAGUCGCCACGUGGGACGGUAACAGGGGACGCAGCGGUAUCGAAACACGAGAUAAAAAAUGCUCGCCCUCGGAGCUGUAGGGUGGUGGUGGUAGCAGUAGUGGUGGUGAUGACAGGUUCGUGUUUAUAUUUAUAUGCCCCGCGCAAUACCAGACGAUGAUGAUUUAUCUGCGCGAGCGCACACGCUCUACUGCAAUGCUAGGUAAAUAUGAGAUCUCGCCGUUCGCCUGAUGACUGAUGAUAGUAAAAACUCGUUCGCAGCGCAAAUCCCGUUGCAUUGUUGUGCAAAAUCCGGCGCAAUGAUGAGGGUUUCGCGCGGGCUCAGUGUCACACGAUAUUCAACGAUAUUAAUGGGACACUGUCGAUUUAUUGGCACAUCCUCGUUUUGCCGAUUCGUAAGAAUAUCCGUUGUUGAUUUUUUCAUUUGUUGCGUUCGAAUUGUUUUUGCGCCAGCCAUUGUCAUCGAAAUUCGAUCGCGAGUCAGUUAGAGUUAAUUACAAAAUGAUGAACAAAUUACGAACACGAUUACUGAAUCUUUUAUAGAAUAGUAUUGGUAACACUAUAGUCUAACGUAACAAGGAGACUUGGAAGUUAUUACUUAAUCAAAUAUAACUUAAAUUGUAAUUUAAAUAAUAUUGAAGUGAGAAAAAAGACAGUCGGGAAGCAAACCAUGUGGUACUGCAAUCAAAUUGUUUUCACAAUGUGUUCAACUGUUGGUAGUUAAAGUGCUAUCGGUCACCAUGGCGCCUGUAAAACGACGUCGAUAACGCGACUACCUCUGGGUUCGUGUCCGAGCUGAGGUCGUUCGAUCUUUGCUCCCAACCCACCCACGUUCACCUCUCACGGUCUCUCGAGCCUCUCUUACACGCGAAAUCCUUUCCACGACCAGCCGCGCCACUCGAUAUCCUCCAAGCCACGCACCGAGCCAUAAAUUCAACUCCGCGUACAAGAACGUUUCUUUUUCUCCCCGCGAGGCGAGAAAGAUAUUGAGCGUCGCGUCACGAUCCCAAAUGGCUGGAAAUACCCCGAAUAACCGAUCAAAGCGGUAACAAGCAUCAUCAGCAGAACAAAGGUCUAUAGAACAUAGAGGUCAAUUACGUGCAACGGUUAAAUUAUCAGGACGCUCUCUCGUUGUUCAGGACGUUGGACGGUGUUAAAUCGCCGAACGGACACGCACAGGCUUCCGACGAACGAUUAAGCCAAAACGCCAAGCCGCACGUUUUGAAGGAUCUCCUCUGUGCAGCGAGACUGCAUGCACUUUUUAACUUCAUGUGCAAGAGCUCUUUUAGAUGCAACGUCCACACGCGAACGAGACUCGGUGAGGAAACUCGACGCAAAGGGGGCUCACUUCUUUUCGUUUGCGAUCUUUUUGCAUGCUUUGAAAAUCCGGCUGCAACUUGCGUCAGAGAUAAAUGAUGAUUCAGACGGGAAAACUAUGGAACAUUUACCACGUACACACGAUUUCCGUUGCAAAAUUAGACGAAUAUGCCUGAGUUCUUUACGUAUUUUGUAAAAAAAAAACUUCAAAUUUCAUGUUCUACUAGUAAUAAAAAUUAUAUCAGCAGAUUCUGUCAAGCAUAAUGAAAUGAAUAAAGGCCUCUCCGAGAAAACCAAA